GAGGAAGUAGUUCUGGUUCUGCUAACUGCAGAAGAGGUCAGACUCUGAGUGAGGUAAAAUGAAGAGAAAUAUUACAUUACUUCAUUAGCAGUGGGUCCAGCAGUGAUAAGUGGGAAGGCGUUCAGGAUGGGCAGAUGCAGAAUCAGACAACAGAGAAGAACAAGAUCCCCAAGAAUCUACUCUGCAAAGUGAAUAUCAAGACAGUGUGACCUGCAGGACUGGCCUGCUAAACCCCAUUACACACACAACUCUCACUGAUAAGGUCUCCGUUGGGAAAAAAGAUGCAGACAGCGCUUGCCAAUGUUCCCCCAGAUGCUGCGAGGACAGAGAAAGCUCCUGUGCAGGAGAACGGAGAGCAGAAAUUGACGUGGAUGAUUGAGUAAAAAUGCAGGAAAAGCAGCCUUUCAGCACGCUCAGCUGAUCUGAGAGGAAAAAACAAUCGCUAUUUGCAUAUAUUUAUUGAAAUGUCUCGCUGCAUCUUUGUCCUAUUGCAGGAGCAUGACGUUAGGGAGU